rnacentral:misc_RNA from 1 species
AUUGUUUUUUAAUUAAAAACUAGAAUGAAAGGUUAUACAUUCAAAUUUCUUUAUUAAUUUUUUAUAAAUAAUUUAUAUUAAAUAUAAAAAUAUAUUUUUAAAUAAAAAAGACGACAAGACCCUAUUAAAUUUAACUUAUAGUUUAGCUGGGGAAGCUUUUUAAAUAAAAUUUUUAUAUAAUUUUUAAAAAUAUAUUUAAUAAAAUUAAAAAUAAAAUAAAUUACUAUAGGGAUAACAGCGUUAUAUUUUUUAAAAGUUCUUAUUUAAAAAAAUGAUUGCGACCUCGAUGUUGAAUUAUAUUUUCUAUAUUAAUGCAAUAAUUAUAAAAGUAGAUCUGUUCGAUCUUUAAAAUAUUACAUGAUUUGAGUUCAAACCGGUGUAAACCAGGUUGGUUUCUAUCUUUUUAUAUAUAUAUAUAUUUUUUUAGUACGAAAGGAAAAAAAAAUUUUUAUUUUAAUUAUUUAGCAAAUUAAUAUGCAUUAGAUUUAGAAUCUAAAUAAAAUAUUAU